AUCAACGCUGGCGGCGUGCCAACACAUGCAAGUCGAACGCGAAAGCCCCUUCGGGGGUAAGUAGAGUGGCGUCCGGGUGAGUAACACGUGGGUAAUCUACCUUCGGGUGGGGAAUAACUCAGGGAAACUUGAGCUAAUACCGCAUAAUGCAGCGGCACCUAAUGGUGAUUAGUUGUUAAAGCGGGGGAUCGCAAGACCUCGCGCCUGAAGAGGAGCCUGCGGCAGAUUAGCAGUUGGUGAGGUAAUGGCUCACCAAGGCUUCGAUCUGUAGCUGGUCUGAGAGGACGGCCAGCCACACGGGGACUGAGACACGGCCCCGACUCCUACGGGAGGCAGCAGCAAGGAAUUUUCUGCAAUGGGCGCAAGCCUGACAGAGCAACGCCGCGGUGGGGGAUGACGCACUUCGGUGUCGUUAAACCCCUUUUCCUUGGGACGAAGCAAGUGACGGUACCGAGGGGAAGAA
rnacentral:rRNA from 1 species